rnacentral:misc_RNA from 1 species
AACGCACGAGACCUGCGGACCUGCGGAAGGAUCAUUACUGAGGAGGGUCCAUGGCCCGAUCUCCAACCCUUUGAUAAAAACACCAUGUUGCUUUGGCAGGCCCGCCCGUUGGGGCCGCGGGGGAUCGCCGGUCCCUAGCCCGUGCCUGCCGGUAGCCUUCACAAAACUCUCAAAAUGUUGUCGUCUGAGAUGAUUAGAAUAAUAAAACUUUUAACAACGGAUCUCUAGAUCGGAAGAGCA